AACGAACGCUUUCUUCCUUCCUAACACAUGCAAGUCGAACGAGACCUUCGGGUCUAGUGGCGCACGGGUGCGUAACGCGUGGGAACCUGCCCUUAGGUUCGGAAUAACUCCCCGAAAGGGGUGCUAAUACCGGAUAAUGUCUUCGGACCAAAGAUUUAUCGCCUUUGGAUGGGCCCGCGUUGGAUUAGCUAGUUGGUAGGGUAAAAGCCUACCAAGGCGACGAUCCAUAGCUGGUCUGAGAGGAUGAUCAGCCACACUGGGACUGAGACACGGCCCAGACUCCUACGGGAGGCAGCAGUGGGGAAUAUUGGACAAUGGGCGAAAGCCUGAUCCAGCAAUGCCGCGUGAGUGAUGAAGGCCUUAGGGUUGUAAAGCUCUUUUACCCGGGAUGAUAAUGACAGUACCGGGAGAAUAAGCUCAGGCUAACUCCGGG
rnacentral:rRNA from 1 species